rnacentral:pre_miRNA from 1 species
CAUCUACUCCCUCCGUUUCAAAAUAGAUGACCCAAAUUUAUAUAUAAAGUUUUGGAACUAUUUUAUAUAUAAAGUUGGGUCAUCUAUUUUGGAACGGAGGGAGUAGAUA